AAAAAAAAUUGUAUUCGGAAGCAGAAAGAAGAUUUAUGUUCUCUUUUUUCAUGAGCAAGUUUCUCGGUUAUUGAUGAUGUUUUGAAACAGCCUUUUCAGUUUUGGCAUCUAAAACAUUGCAGGGCGAGAGAGCGUGGAUUCAACGUAGUGAAUCCUAUUAUGAACCGAACAUGGAGUUACAUAAGUGGAAGUUGAGCAAGAACUAUAGAUUUCAUCUAUCGGUCUUUGGCAAGCUUUUCUAAUUAAGAUUCUAGUAUUCGAUGGCAGCCUGUGGAUGCUAUUGAAUUAUUACGAUGUGGAAUAGUCUGAAGGGUUUAAUGAGGAGGCACGAGGCUUAAAGAUGUUACUCCAUCAGUAUAAACCCGAACCAGACUUUCUAAUCGAAUGUAUCUCGAAGAUUGCCUAACCUCCAUCCACUAGGAUUGUUUUGGUGGUUCAAGAUCGUUGUAUUAAUUUUUGGAAUAUUUUCAAUUUAGAAUAUUUAUGUUGAUGUGACAUUUUGAAUAUAACUAUGAAUUUUUUAUGCUUCUGUAUAAUAUGAAUAAUAUGAAAAUAAAUUUGAGUUA